GGUUAACGCUGGCGGUAUGUCUAAUACAUGCAAGUCGAGCGAUUCACUUCGGUGAAGAGCGGCGAACGGGUGCGUAACACGUUGGAACCUGCCCCGAACUCAGGGAUAACACCUAGAAAUAGGUGCUAAUACCGGAUAGUCCCGAAAGGGUAAAGAUUUUUCGGUUCGGGAGGGUCCUGCGGCCUAUCAGCUUGUUGGUGAGGUAACUGCUCACCAAGGCUAUGACGGGUAGCUGGUCUGAGAGGAUGAUCAGCCACAAUGGAACUGAGACACGGUCCAU
rnacentral:rRNA from 1 species